rnacentral:rRNA from 1 species
GAUGAUACGCGAGGAACCUUACCCGGGCUUGAACUGCAGGAGAACGAUUCAGAGAUGAUGAGGUCCUUCGGGACUCCUGUGGAGGUGCUGCAUGGUUGUCGUCAGCUCGUGCCGUGAGGUGUCGGCUUAAGUGCCAUAACGAGCGCAACCCCUGCUGCCAGUUGCCAUCACUUCGGGUGGGCACUCUGGCAGGACUGCCACCGUAAGGUGCGAGGAAGGUGGGGAUGACGUCAAAUCAGCACGGCCCUUACGUCCGGGGCUACACACGUGUUACAAUGGGUGGUACAGAGAGUCGGUGCAUGGCAAUGUGCAUCCAAUCAGGAAAGCCAUCCUCAGUUCGGAUUGGGGUCUGCAACCCGACCCCAUGAAGCUGGAUUCGCUAGUAAUCGCGCAUCAGCCAUGGCGCGGUGAAUACGUUCCCGGGCCUUGUACACACCGCCCGUCAAGCCAUGAAAGCCUGGGGCGCCUGAAGUCCGUGACCGCGAGGGUCGGCCUAGGGUGAAACAGGUGAUUGGGGCUAAGUCGUAACAAGGUAGCCGUA